AAUAUAAGGGACAAUUGGAGACUUUCUGAGCCUCAACAUUCACCUCUACAGUGAAUGGUUUAAUUGCCAUCUUAAUACAAUCCAGAUUAAUAUCAACUUUUUAAAAAUUCUGUCUAAAAUUUUUUGCUACAGGGUAGCACUGUUUCUUUUCCCCUCCUUUGGCCUCUUAGAAACAUACAAAUUAUGUCUUUUUAAACAAAAUGUCCAUCAACACAUUUUGGUAAUUACCAGAUCAUACAGUUGUCUUUUGAAAUAAACCAGACACAGAAAGAGAACUAUCCCAUGAUCUCACUUAUGUGUGGAAUUUUUUUUAAAAGAAAAAAUUCAAACUAAGUUGAAGGCAAAUGACUCAAUGCUUGAUUUGCAUAAACUUGUGUCCCCAUGCCCAGUCUCUCCAAUAGUCUACAUAGAGAUUUCCCCAUUUCCUCUCACAUUUGACUCCAAAUGGAUUUUUCCUUUAGAA
rnacentral:lncRNA from 1 species